UACGGGGGGGGCAAGCGUUGUUCGGAAUUACUGGGCGUAAAGGGCGCGUAGGCGGCCUUCUAAGUCGGACGUGAAAUCCCUCGGCUUAACCGAGGAACUGCGUCCGAUACUGAAAGGCUUGAAUCCGGGAGAGGGAUGUGGAAUUCCUGGUGUAGCGGUGAAAUGCGCAGAUAUCAGGAGGAACACCGGUGGCGAAGGCGGAUCUCUGGGCCAUUACUGACGCUGAGGAGCGAAAGCGUGGGGAGCGAACAGG
rnacentral:rRNA from 1 species